rnacentral:rRNA from 1 species
AGUUGCGAUCAUACCAGCACUAAUGCACUGGAUCCCAUCAGAACUCCGCAGUUAAGCGUGCUUGGGCGAGAGUAGUACUAGGAUGGGUGACCCCCUGGGAAGUCCUCGUGUUGCAACCC